AUGUGUUUUUUACAGACUGAUUUUUGUGUCUCUCCCAGGAGGAAUCCAAGGCCUGCCACACUCUCAAGACCAGCCAGGCCGCUCUACCCUGGAACAACUGUUUCCCACUGCUGCCAUCACCAAC